GACGUAGGGCGCGAGCGUUGUCCGGAUUUAUUGGGCGUAAAGAGCUCGUAGGCGGCUUGUCGCGUCGGCCGUGAAAACUUGGGGCUUAACUCUGAGCGUGCGGUCGAUACGGGCAUCACUUGAGUUCGGCAGGGGAGACUGGAAUUCCUGGUGUAGCGGUGAAAUGCGCAGAUAUCAGGAGGAACACCGGUGGCGAAGGCGGGUCUCUGGAACGGUACUGACGCUGAGACGCGAAAGCGUGGGAGCGAACAGG
rnacentral:rRNA from 1 species